UACGGAGGGGGCUAGCGUUGUUCGGAAUUACUGGGCGUAAAGAGCGUGUAGGCGGUUCGGUAAGUCUGCUGUGAAAGUCCAGGGCUCAACCCUGGAAAGCCGGUGGAUACUGUCGGACUAGAGUGCGGAAGAGGCGAGUGGAAUUCCCGGUGUAGCGGUGAAAUGCGCAGAUAUCGGGAGGAACACCAAUUGCGAAGGCAGCUCGCUGGGACGUGACUGACGCUGAGACGCGAAAGCGUGGGGAGCGAACAGG
rnacentral:rRNA from 1 species